rnacentral:rRNA from 1 species
AUUGAACGCUGGCGGCAGGCCUAACACAUGCAAGUCGAGCGAGCGGCGGACGUGUGAGUAAUGUAUGGGGACUGCCCGAUAGAGGGGGAUAACUACUGGAAACGGUAGCUAAUACCGCAUACUAUCGGAUAACCCAUAUGGGAUUAGCUAGUAGGUGAGGUAAUGGCUCACCUAGGCGACGAACCCUAGCUGGUCUGAGAGGAGGAUCAGCCACACUGGAACGGAAACAGGGCCCAGACUCCUACGGAGGCAGCAGUGGGGAAUAUUGCACAAUGGGCGCAAGCCGGAUGCAGCCAUGCAGCGUGUAUGAAGAAGGCCCUAGGGUUGUAAAGUACUUUCAGGCGGGAGGCGUUACCGACAGAAGAAGCACCGACUAACUCCGUGCCAGCAGCCGCGGUAAUUA